CAAUAGCGUAUAUUUAAGUUGUUGCAGUUAAAAAGCUCGUAGUUGGAUUUCGGGUGGGACGCAGCGGUCCCGCAUUGCGUUUGUACUGCUGCAGCCCUCCUUCUUGCCGGGGGCGGCCUCUCGGACUUCACUGUCUGGGGGUCAGAAUCGGCGAUGUUACUUUGAGUAAAUUAGAGUGUUCAAAGCAAGCUUACGCUCUGAAUAUAAUAGCAUGGGAUAACACGACAGGACUCUGGCCUAUCGUGUUGGUCUAUAGGACCAGAGUAAUGAUUAAGAGGGACAGUCGGGGGCAUUCGUAUUCCGUUGUCAGAGGUGAAAUUCUUGGAUUUACGGAAGACGAACAUCUGCGAAAGCAUUUGCCAAGGAUGUUUNCAUUGA
rnacentral:rRNA from 1 species